GGAAAGCAGAAUUUCUAGUGUAGAGGUGAAAAUCGUAGAUAUUAGAAAGAAUACCAAAUGCGAAGGGCAGCUUUCUGGAUCAUUACUGACACUGAGGAACGAAAGCAUGGGUAGCGAAGAGGAUUAGAUACCCUCGUAGUCCAUGCCGUAAACGAUGUGUGUUAGACGUUGGAAAUUUAUUUUCAGUGUCGCAGCGAAAGCGAUAAACACACCGCCUGGGGAGUACGACCGCAAGGUUAAAACUCAAAUGAAUUGACGGGGACCCGCACAAGUAGUGGAGCAUGUGGUUUAAUUCGAAGAUACGCGCAGAACCUUACCAACACUUGACAUGUUCGUCGCGACUUUAAGAGAUUAAAGUUUUCGGUUCGGCCGGACGAAACACAGGUGCUGCAUGGCUGUCGUCAGCUCGUGUCGUGAGAUGUUGGGUUAAGUCCCGCAACGAGCGCAACCCUCACUUUUAGUUGCCAUCAUUAAGUUGGGCACUCUGAAAGAACUGCCAGUGAUAAGCUGGAGGAAGGUGGGGAUGACGUCAAGUCCUCAUGGCCCUUACGUGUUGGGCUACACACGUGCUACAAUGGUAUCUACAACAGGAAGCGAAACAGCGAUGUUAAGCAAAUCCUUAAAAGAUACCUCAGUUCGGAUUGCACUCUGCAACUCGAGUGCAUGAAGCUGGAAUUACUAGUAAUCGUGGAUCAGCGUGCCACGGUGAAUGCGUUCCCGGGUCUUGUACACACCGCCCGUCACACCAUGGGAGUUGGUUCUACCUUAAGGCAAGGUUUAAUACCCUUGACCACGGUAUAGUCAGCGACUGGGGUGAAGUCGUAACAAGGUAGCCGUAGGGGAACCUGCGGCUG
rnacentral:rRNA from 1 species